AAAUGGAUAGAGAUGCACCAAUCAAAUGACCACAUCUUGUUUUCCCUUCUUUAUUUGCUCUUUUCUGAAAAAAUCUAUUUUAACAUCUUUAUUGCAAAAAUACACAGAACACUGACUACUUUUAGUCAAUAUAUACAUCAACCAACAGCAUUUGGUAUGAUUCACUUUUCUAAGUUUAAUAAAAUCUGAUAAAGGUAAUAGGGAUGUGCUUAAGUGUAUAAAAGGAUAUUAUCCUGUUACUCAUUCAUUUUCUAUUGGAAUUACAAUUACUAGCUCCAUAAAAAAAAAAACAUCCAGCACAUUUUUUCUCUCUCUUUUUUUUGAGUGUUUUGGUCCUUAGAUAAAAAUUCAGAAAAUCAGAAAUCUGUAUUAGUCAGAAGACCCCGGGUGAUGCAUCUCUACUGAUUCCACAAACACUGCAAACAUCCAGACUACAGAGCAGCUCCCAUAAUCUGGGAGCUGAACGGCAUCUGAAAUCUAAAGCGUAUCCCUCAAACAAAAAGGACAACUAAAUCUGGAGAACAAAGAGCUUCUGAUCGAGGAUGGAGUUUCAAAUCCAACUUCCUGUUCAAGGUGAGAAGAGAGAUGCAGCGUUCUUAAAAUACACAACCUGCUCAGUGUAAAGCUGCUGUAUUCUCAUAUGCGUCAAUCCGAACGCUGAAGGUCAGAUGCGUCUGAGCUGGUAGCUGACAAGGAUGGCAACGGCUUGAUAUGGGAUUGCGCAUGACUUACAAAUCCAUCCCAAAGCAGAAUUUAAAAACUUCCACACGUCCUGCAGAGGCAGGACAGCCUGAGGAGUGGGAGAAGAAAUGCUGCCCUCUAUCAGCGGCAUUCAUUCCUCCCCACGCAGGAGCAGAAACACACAAUCCAACCCGAGACGGGGGUCGGGGAGAGCAGCACGCGCAUGUGUUGAUCUUGUCCUCGGAAGUCCUUUUCCCCCAGUCUUCCUUUUCCGUCAGAGACAGAGGAAGCACAAUGGUCAGACUGUGCUGAAAGGUUGUGCCGGCAGCCCGGCUGUGUAUGGAGGUUCUGUUGGGGCCGGCGGCGGCUCUGUUGCAUACAUAUGGAAAAGGAUGGAAGUUAAGACAGAAGGGUCGCAGAGGGGUUGUGAGUGUGACCACAGAGGUCUGCACAGGCGCCUUCCUAACUCAUACAUUCACUGACAUGUGAAAUCAGGACUCUGAUCCGUUCAUCUGGGGAUGGGAGGAAAUCACAAUCCUAAUACAACCGAAGCAGUGUUUUCAAAGCUUAACUAACCUCCUUGGGCUCUGAUGCAAACUGGGUCUAUUUUCCUAAAAAAAAGAAAAAAGAAAAGAAAAAAAAAAGCAUCCACCUUUCUUUAACUCAGAAAACCACUCAAAACCGGUUCCCAUGGCAAAGCGGAGAACCUAACCUGCAACAGUGGGAAGUGAAUACACACAAGGAAGUAGACACACAUGCAGGAGCUCAAUGGUUGCAGCUUUUUGCUCACACAUCAUGCUGUAAAUGUCAGAAGACUGCCGCCUCACUAUCCUUCAACAUUUUACUGCUUCACAGAGAGUCAGCAUCAGAAAACACCUUGAUAUCAGGAGAAUCUGCUCCAGCUGCAUAGAAAGAUUGCACAAAAAAAAAAAAAAAACUGUGCACGAUGCCAAUAUUUAACAGCUCAUCUGGACGAGACCAACUGGACGGUUAGAAAUUUUCGAAUAAUGCAGCAGAACUAGUUCUCAGACAUUGGCUAAUUACUGGUAUGACAAUGUAUCAAAGGUUUCAAAAGGCUUCUGUCACGCCCUUCUUGAGGUUUUAAAUCUUCUGGCUGAAUAGAGAAUAGCUGCUCCUACUGUGCACAGCCAGUCUGCUAGCUAAAGGAAAGUUUUUGCACGUUUUGUCGAUAUUUUAACAUCCUAUACAAGCAGCUGGUGCAGUUAGCGCAGCUAGCAUCACUAAUUCAGUGUAUAUGCAGGUCUGUACUUUGACUCUGAGAUUCCGAAAAGCUUGCCAAGAUUUCAAAACACAGCAUAUUUAAUGACAGACAGAGGUUGAAAGCUCAAACUGCUGCUAUAGUUUCAGCUUUGUUGUUAUGUAUUUAAAGUUGUCCACAAAGACGUUCAAAGUUUCCUAUGAAACAGAUUCAUACAACUCUUUUACUUCAUUUACAAGCACGUCGCCAUUACUGAAAAUAAGUCAUAUUUAGGUCUGCGUCAGUAACAACUUUCGCACUGAGGAGGGGUGUUGUUGUUGUUGGUGGUGGCACUUCAGUGUGUCAGAAUAAGGCAGUAUUUUUGAGUUCCUCACCUGCCGCUCAACAGUCAAGGUCGGUGAAACUGAGAAUCUGCAGAUUCCAGCCAAUGGCCACUUGUUCUGUGCAUCUUUGCAAUCGUUCAUAAUGAGAUACAAGAGAAAUGGCCAAAAUCACCAAAGUUUUCUCCAGCUCAGUUUUUCGCACCCAAUUUUUGCUGUGCACUACACAUCAGCUAGCUGAAAGAAGAUGACUACACUUUCACUUGCUUACAAGUAUGAAAAAUUUGUCUGUUUCAAAAAACAAGGAUGAUCAUGGCCUGGAUACUAAAGAAUCUCACCCGUCACUUUUAUUAAGUUAACACUGUUUGCACAUAUUGUUCCCUUAUCUUUAUUUCCUUUCAUCUAAAGUUUAUAUAUUUACAUUUUAUGUAUGUACAAUGUGAGAAAUGAAGUCAAAUUCCUUGUCUCUGCUCACAAUCUCAGCCAACAAAACAGAUUCUGAUUACUUCCAAAAAUAAUCACAUUGUGCUGUUAGAAGAAGUUUGAGUAGUUGCUGUUUUUUAUGUUCUAGAUAAAAGCAAUUUAAUCCUGCAAAUAAUUUUUUUGCAGUUAUCAUAAGAAUCUAAUAAUUGUGCAAGCCAGCUUACAAUGUAUCCUGCUUGAUAUUGAAGUGACUGUCUGGUUCUGAAAAUGUCUUAAUCACAAAAUAAUAUCCAUAGAAGCAUCUUUUAUAGUUUCACCUUUGUGGCGUAUAAGAACUCAGACUGUAAUCUUUUUAUUUUUGUCACAUCAUAAAUGUGCACUGAAAUCUUACACACAUAGAAAACAUUGUCCGUUUUUUUUUUUCACGAUUUAAAGCCCUAACAACACUUUCUGCGGAUGUCAUUUUCCUCUAAGGAAGAAAGCUUGAUUUGAAUAGUGUAGGUGGCAUCUUCUCUUCAGCGAGCGCCGUGAUAUUGUGUGAUGGGUUUGGCAUGUCGAUUUGAUUUUUCACUUGCCAGGAAACUGGUCUUCGAGAGCUCUCUGGAAGAGGAGCUGCUUCUGCCUGUAUACCCUUAGCUGCGUGCUGAUGCUCAUUUAAAGGUCGUUUUUUUUUUCUUUCUUUCUUUUUUACUGAGUCUGAUGCAAACUUUGCUUUACAAGCAUGGACAAGUCUAGAUUCUGCACAAUUUACAGAGUGCAUCAAUGAUCUUCUUUUUCACUGUUGCCUAGCCGGCUCUGUCUUACUUGUCACUUGUAGCUGCUCCAUCUUUCCAAUAGCACUUUGUUGCCGAUCAGCUGAGAAUGCAGCAUUACUUUUUAUCAUCAUGUAAUACCAAGUGUUACAAGUCGCAAUAUGACGUGCAAAAACAGUUUGCAAAUAGUUGUCUUUCCUUGUAGCACCCAAAAGCCAUCAUUUCUCAAUCUUUUAAGUGCAGCUUUGGGCUCUACUAUUAAGUUUGUUUACUUCUGCUGGGAACAAAAUGCAGGGGUUCUCGAAUCCUGAAUAAAAUUCCACGCAAAUUGUAAAUUCAGUCGCAGUCUAAAGGUCUGAGAGGCUCAGAGAAAAAUGAGCGACAAAAUCCAAAUAGCAAUAAGAAAAUCAAGCUUCAGACAUCUGUUUGUUUACGAUUGAAAAUAUUUGUUUUCAUGCCUUUUUUUGUCUUUAAAUGGCAUGUUAGAAAAUAUUUAGCAACUACUGUGGAACUUUUGUGUUUUUCAGGGUUACUUGUGGACUUGCACAAUAUAUUGCAUCACAAUAUCAAUGUGCAUGCUCUCAAUCGCAAUGGAAUGCUUGGAUAGAAUAAUGGCAACGUUGUUGUAUUUCAAGGUAGAUGCCUUAAUGCGUUCCAUGAAAAAUAAUUAAUCCGACCAGUAGAAUGCAUGCUUGUACAACUACACCUCAAUUAUUUAAUUUCCUUAGAUCAUGCAGCAUGAGUUACUGUAUUUUGCUCUAAUUUUCAAAACUGUGCAACACGCAACAUUACACCUCCAGCAUGUGUUGUGCACUGCCAGUUGGCUGGCUGAAAGGAAGUUUUCUACACCCUUUCCUUACUUACAUGAAAGACAAAUUUGGCUGUUUGUAAAUAUUUGUGGUCACAAAAAACAGGGAUAGUCACCCUCCUACUAAAUUUAAUACCUAUCUAUUCUAUAUUUCAGACUCUGGUCUAUCCCAUUGCACUACUAUGCAAUCAAUCUGUGAUGCAAAUUAGCCUUUAAUAAACUUUCACAAGAGGAAUUUCUUGAGGAAUCUGUUCCAUCUUUGGAGCCAAUGUCAAUUCAUUCUGAAAAGACAGGAGAAACUUUUAAAGACUCAAAAAUCCCAAAUCAAGCCGUCUAUAUGACCAGCUGUGGGUCGACAGCGUUCCCUCGGAGAAUUUAAGUCUCAGCUCCGUCUCAAACCUGAUUGGCUCCUUUAGAUGCUUCACCUGUUCAAAAACCAUCAGGGGUCUUAAGUUGUACCAGCGAAGCAGUUUUAUAUGGUGAUGAUACGGCACAGGCACAGGGGAGGGGGUGUUCUGCCAGUGUGAGAAAUGCCACCUGCUGCGCGCCUCAGCUGCCCACCCUCUCAGAACGCCACGCCCUCGUCGGCCCGCUGUGACAACCAGCUUCACUGAAAGCCUGGAAGUGCUCAGCUUUAUCUCCAAAAUGAAGCAGUUGACAUUUCUGUCUCUGCUCUGUCAUUUCUGCGUGACUUCUCUGUUCCUAUGCUGAACACGGACAAAAAACCCAGCGACCAAGGGGGUGGGAGGGGGGUCGCUGAAGACAAAGCAGAGACCUUGCAUCUUUGAAUUUUAUUUUGUCUCCAGUAAAAUAACUUGAGCACAGACUCAUAAUCCUGAUUUAUAUCUCAUUAAAUCACAUCCACCAAAUCUAAGGACGCCAGCAAUUCAUAAAAGCCUGAUUAGCGGCUAUCCCUGGAACAUCUGCUCACAUCAGUGUCUAAAUGGGAUGAGAGCAGCCCCACGUUUCCCUUUCUGUAUCUUGAUAGACAACUAUGGAUGGGCCAGCAUGAGAUUUUCAAAGUGUGGAAAUCUUCAGAAAAACACAACAACUUCACAGUUUUCACAGACAUUUGGAACAAAACUGUAUUACAUGAUCGAGCUGCACUUACUUAAAACAGAAAAGCAACUGUUUCUUGCGCAGAAAGCUGACUUUGUACACCCACAUGCAUACACCUAUCACACUCUGACCAAGAAAAAGACUUUCAUCGUGCCAUUACAUGGAGCUAAUAUAAUCUUUUAUUCCACAGACUCUGCCCCGGACUGCUUUUUACAACGACCUGCUAUGAAACAUGUUUAAAUUAAUGAUAACUUUUGUGACAUUUGUGUGUUACUUUUAUGAAACUAUCCCAUUGUUUCUUUGUAUCCUAUGUGCUGCACUUUAGGAUACUAUGGAGUUGUUGUAAAGUUGCUCGAAACCAGAAUUUUCAUAUACAGUACAAAAACCUGCAUUACUUUUGUCUUCCCACAUGGUCUGAAAAUAAACCAGGCUAAACUUUUAGAGCAGUUAGAAUUACCAAACAUAACUCUAGUAGCUGAAUUCAACAAUAAGGAGAGAUCUAUUAAAACUUUCCUUAAAUUCAGAAGUUUGCAGACAUUAUCCUUGUAUUUGGAAGAAGUUUGUCGAGAUUUUUGCCAAUUCCUCCUGAUAGAACUGGGGUAACUGAGUCAGGAAAACACACUCGUCUCUGAGACACAGAAUCUGUCCCGUUUCCUGAAAGCGUAAUGGCUGGACCCAUAGAGCAAACACACUUCGUUCAUCCACGCUUCUCUUCCUGAUAACUUGGGAUGAUGUCUUGAUUUUUACAUCAUGUCACACAAGGAAGCUGUGUGUUUGAGGUGUUGCCUCCAUUUAACUUAAAUGUUAGGAAAUAACCUAUCAGAAUAAAGUCAUGAUAUCAUCAUCAGAGCUUUUCCCAAAUUCUUUGAAGGCUUAAUAGACUUAGUUUACAUAAAUUUGUCAAUGUGAGGAUAGUGGCAAAAUGUUUUUAAUCAAUUAUCUCUCUUAUGAAUUUAUUGUUUAGCAAAUGGAAAUUCUUCUGAUGAUUCUAACAGACCUAAAAUGAAGAACAUUUUUUAUUUUAUUUAAUGCCAGACAGGGAGAAACUAAAGUCGACGCGUUUUCGUACCGUGAGAUACCUGGUUUCAACUACAGAUCUUCUUUCAGUAAGCUGACGAGCAGUGUGCGGGAACAGGUAGGGGAGGGGCAGCACUGCAUUACUUAAUGCACCACGCAGCCAAAGGAGACUCUGGCCAAUCCGGCACCUUCUUUUACAUCUCAAUAAAAGAACAUUAAAUGGUAGGAAGAGGGAAACAGAACCUUUUUUUUUUUUUUUUUUUUAAUUUUUUUAGCCCAUAGCAAACCUUGACACAAGCAACCGGCCCAUGUGUAGCCAAAAUUAACAAUUCUCUUUUCUUCUCCUCAAACAGCUGGCCUCCACAAGCCAAUAAGAGUAAAUCAUCAAGGACAGAUUUUCUCGCAGGCUGUUUGAGGGAAAAUGGCUGAAGUAGCUCUGCUCCAGGAGGCUUUAUGACUCCCAUCCCUAAUCAAUGAGGGGUUUACUUUGUGUCCAUGACAGGCUCUAUCCACAUUAAUAUAACCACUCAGAGAUUAAAUAAGAAGACCCACGGCACGUAUGGCUGAAGCUGUCAGUCAUCGCGUGAUUUCCCCUCAGGUGGAAACUUUCCGCUUUCAUUUGUUGUAUAUUUCUUUAGCUUAGUCACUGGCUAAGUCAUCAUCUCAGAGGGAUCCUCCUCAUCCCAGCCACACCAUCCACAACUUCCUCACCACCACAUUAUGCUGUCCACAGUUGCUUUGCUGAUUAUUAAAUCCUGCUUUUAAUUUUAAUUUUAAUUUAGUGCCAUAGUAACGAAUUAGUCAUGCAACAGGUUGUACAGCGAGAAGAAGAAGAAAAAGAAGAAGAAG